rnacentral:rRNA from 1 species
UACGUAGGGGGCAAGCGUUGUCCGGAAUCAUUGGGCGUAAAGAGCGUGUAGGCGGCCCGGUAAGUCCGCUGUGAAAGUCCAGGGCUCAACCCUGGGAUGCCGGUGGAUACUGUCGGGCUCGAGUCCGGAAGAGGAGUGUGGAAUUCCUGGUGUAGCGGUGAAAUGCGUAGAUAUCAGGAGGAACACCGGCGGUGUAGACGGCUUGCUAGACCACCCCUGACGCUGAGGCACGAAAGCGUGGGUAGCAAACAGG